UUGAAGAGUUUGAUCAUGGCUCAGAUUGAACGCUGGCGGCAGGCCUAACACAUGCAAGUCGAGCGGUAGCACAGAGAGCUUGCUCUCGGGUGACGAGCGGCGGACGGGUGAGUAAUGUCUGGGAAACUGCCUGAUGGAGGGGGAUAACUACUGGAAACGGUAGCUAAUACCGCAUAAUGUCGCAAGACCAAAGUGGGGGACCUUCGGGCCUCAUGCCAUCAGAUGUGCCCAGAUGGGAUUAGCUAGUAGGUGGGGUAACGGCUCACCUAGGCGACGAUCCCUAGCUGGUCUGAGAGGAUGACCAGCCACACUGGAACUGAGACACGGUCCAGACUCCUACGGGAGGCAGCAGUGGGGAAUAUUGCACAAUGGGCGCAAGCCUGAUGCAGCCAUGCCGCGUGUGUGAAGAAGGCCUUCGGGUUGUAAAGCACUUUCAGCGGGGAGGAAGGCGUUAAGGUUAAUAACCUUGGCGAUUGACGUUACCCGCAGAAGAAGCACCGGCUAACUCCGUGCCAGCAGCCGCGGUAAUACGGAGGGUGCAAGCGUUAAUCGGAAUUACUGGGCGUAAAGCGCACGCAGGCGGUCUGUCAAGUCGGAUGUGAAAUCCCCGGGCUCAACCGGGAACUGCAUUCGAAACUGGCAGGCUAGAGUCUUGUAGAGGGGGUAGAAUUCCAGGUGUAGCGGUGAAAUGCGUAGAGAUCUGGAGGAAUACCGGUGGCGAAGGCGGCCCCCUGGACAAAGACUGACGCUCAGGUGCGAAAGCGUGGGGAGCAAACAGGAUUAGAUACCCUGGUAGUCCACGCCGUAAACGAUGUCGAUUUGGAGGUUGUGCCCUUGAGGCGUGGCUUCCGGAGCUAACGCGUUAAAUCGACCGCCUGGGGAGUACGGCCGCAAGGUUAAAACUCAAAUGAAUUGACGGGGGCCCGCACAAGCGGUGGAGCAUGUGGUUUAAUUCGAUGCAACGCGAAGAACCUUACCUGGUCUUGACAUCCACAGAACUUAGCAGAGAUGCUUUGGUGCCUUCGGGAACUGUGAGACAGGUGCUGCAUGGCUGUCGUCAGCUCGUGUUGUGAAAUGUUGGGUUAAGUCCCGCAACGAGCGCAACCCUUAUCCUUUGUUGCCAGCGGUCCGGCCGGGAACUCAAAGGAGACUGCCAGUGAUAAACUGGAGGAAGGUGGGGAUGACGUCAAGUCAUCAUGGCCCUUACGACCGGGCUACACACGUGCUACAAUGGCAUAUACAAAGAGAAGCGACCUCGCGAGAGCAAGCGGACCUCAUAAAGUAUGUCGUAGUCCGGAUUGGAGUCUGCAACUCGACUCCAUGAAGUCGGAAUCGCUAGUAAUCGUAGAUCAGAAUGCUACGGUGAAUACGUUCCCGGGCCUUGUACACACCGCCCGUCACACCAUGGGAGUGGGUUGCAAAAGAAGUAGGUAGCUUAACCUUCGGGAGGGCGCUUACCACUUUGUGAUUCAUGACUGGGGUGAAGUCGUAACAAGGUAACCGUAGGGGAACCUGCGGUUGGAUCACCUCCUU
rnacentral:rRNA from 1 species